CAAGAUCCAUGGAUGAGUGAAGCGAUUGCAAAAGAAUUUCCUGGUACAAAGCAUAGCUUUUGUAUUUGGCACAUUACAAGUAAAUUUAGUGCUUGGUUCAUGGCUGUUCUUUGCGACCAAUAUUAGACAUGGUGUUCUGAUUUUUAUGAGUUAUAUCACUUAGAAACACCUCAAGAGUUUGAGGAUCACUGGACCCAAGUCAUUGCCAAGUAUAAUUUGCAGUCCAACAAGCAUGUCAUGGGUUUAUAUGAGAUUAAACACUUUUGGGUGCUAGCUUACUUGCGUGAUUAUUUCUUCGGAGGGAUGACUACUACAGGAAGGUCGGAGAGCAUCAAUGCUUUCAUAAUGCGGUUCAUUAGCUCUCAUACAAAUUUAGAGAAAUUUGUUAAACAGGUUGAUCUUGGUAUUGAAGAUAUCUAACAAAAGGAAUUGCAUGACACCAUGUUACAAAAGUACAUAUGUUCUUCUUUAAGAACUAUGUCACCAUUGGAAGAGCAAGCCCGUGAAGUUCUUACACAAGUUUGCUUUAAAAAAUUUCAAGAGGAGUUUGGAAGAGCAACUUUAUAUUCAUUGCUACAUGGUGAUGGGAAUGAAUUUAUUGUAAAAUAUCACAAGAACGUGGAUAGCAAAAAGCACAAAGUGUUUUGGGAUGGUGAGGCAGCUACAUGUGGUUGCAAGCACUUUGAGUUUUGGGAAAUUCUUUGUCGACACAUAUUAAGUGUGUUUCUUCAUAAGGAUUGCUACCAAAUUCCAUCCAUGUAUUUACCAUCACGUUGGUGUCGUGAUACAUUCCAAAGUGAGGAAGGGUCUCAAAUGUCAGAUGAAAUUUUAGCAGAUAACUUGAUUGAUGAUGUUCAUUGUCCUCCAAUUUCUAAAACCAAAGGCCGUCCAAAGACUUAGCGACUGAAACGCGGAAGAGAAGUUUACUCCAAAGCUAAAAAGGAGUUGUGAAUUUUGUAAGAAUGUUGGGUAUAAUAUCACUACUUGUCCGGAGAAGGAAAAUAUUGAUUGUGUCUACAAUUCUCAAAAGAAGAAAAAGAUGGCAUCAAGUAGUGACAUGGGCUUAAAUCCUGUGUUCUGUAUCAAGUACUAGGUCGAUGGAAAAUUUUUGUGCCACACGUCUAAACUUUUGGAGUGGAUGGGCAUGUUUGUGUAGCUCUUUUUUGGUGGGGUUUAGUUUUUGUUCCGACAUGGCAUACAUGACUGAUCAUAUGUCCUAAACUUGUUUUUGUUCUUACAUUUUGUAUAGUCAUGUUAAUUUGCUCGUACAAUUUGACUUUGUUGAUGGGCAACAAAAAUAGAUCAAUGCCCAUAUAUAUUUUUGUAGUUGUGGGCUGUGGAAUGAUUCUUGAUAUGGGAUCAUAAUACCUUGUCUUUUUGUAAUUAUGUCAUGUGAAAAUGAAACGUAGCAGGAACGUGAUGGUUUAUGGAAUUUUUGGC